UUAAACGCAAUGAUCGGGAAAAGUAAGUUGUGCAAGUCAUACAGAGAGGAAUUCCUAGGCUGAGAGAAUUCUAUGAUGCAGUAUAACCGAAGUGCCCCCGAGAGCGUUAGGCCGAAAUUCAGUAGGCUGAGACGGGUUCUCCCGUUAUAGAGAUAUGGUGUGUUGGCACCUGAAGAAUGAGAUGGGCAUUUUUUGCCUAAUCAGAGUGGAACCGUGGAAGUAAACUUCUGCCUCUGUA
rnacentral:ncRNA from 1 species